rnacentral:rRNA from 1 species
UACGUAGGGUCCGAGCGUUGUCCGGAAUUAUUGGGCGUAAAGAGCUCGUAGGCGGUUUGUCGCGUCUGCCGUGAAAGUCCGGGGCUCAACUCCGGAUCUGCGGUGGGUACGGGCAGACUAGAGUGAUGUAGGGGAGACUGGAAUUCCUGGUGUAGCGGUGAAAUGCGCAGAUAUCAGGAGGAACACCGGUGGCGAAGGCGGGUCUCUGGGCCGAUACUGACGCUGAGGAGCGAAAGCGUGGGGAGCGAACAGG